rnacentral:rRNA from 1 species
AGAAUCAACGCUGGCGGCGUGCCUAACACAUGCAAGUCGAACGAGAAAGUGGAGCAAUCCAUGAGUAAAGUGGCGCACGGGUGAGUAACACGUGACUACCUACCCUUGAGUGGGGGAUAACCUCGGGAAACCGAGGCUAAUACCGCAUAAUAUCGAGAGAUCAAAGGAGUAAUCCGCUUUUGGAGGGGGUCGCGGCUGAUUAGCUAGUUGGUAGGGUAAUGGCCUACAAAGGCGAAGAUCGGUA